rnacentral:rRNA from 1 species
AGAGUUUGAUUAUGGCUCAGAACGAACGCUGGCGGCGCGUUUUAAGCAUGCAAGUCGAGCGGCAAGGGUCUUCGGGCCCCUAGAGCGGCGGACGGGUGAGUAACACGUGGACAAUCUGCCCCCCGGCCGGGGAUAGCCCAGGGAAACCUGGAUUAAUACCGGAUGAGACGGGACCCGCGGAGGCGGGAUCCGGGAAAGGCGCUGCGGCGCCGCCGGGGGAUGAGUCUGCGUCCCAUUAGCUUGACGGCGGGGUAACGGCCCACCGUGGCGACGAUGGGUAGCCGGCCUGAGAGGGUGGACGGCCACAUUGGAACUGAGACACGGUCCAGACUCCUACGGGAGGCAGCAGCUAAGAAUCUUCCGCAAUGGGCGAAAGCCUGACGGAGCGACGCCGCGUGAACGAAGAAGGCCGUGAGGUUGUAAAGUUCUUUUCGGGAGGGGGAACAACCGUGGCAGGGAAUGGCCGCGGGAUGACGUGAAUCCCGGAAUAAGCCCCGGCUAACUACGUGCCAGCAGCCGCGGUAACACGUAGGGGGCGAGCGUUGUUCGGAAUCAUUGGGCGUAAAGGGCGUGCAGGCGGUCCUGCAAGUCCGGCGUGAAAGACCCCGGCCCAACCGGGGGGGCGCGCUGGAAACUGCAGGGCUUGAGUACAGGAGGGGAUGCCGGAAUUCCAGGCGUAGGGGUGAAAUCUGUAGAUAUCUGGAGGAACACCAAUGGCGAAGGCAGGUAUCUGGCCAUGUACUGACGCUGAGACGCGAAGGUGCGGGGAGCAAACAGGAUUAGAUACCCUGGUAGUC